GGCUCCGUGGCGCAACGGACAGCGCGUUGGACUUCUAGUUGUAAAAUGAAGCGAUUCAAAGGUUGUGGGUUCGAGUCCCACCGGAGUCG
rnacentral:tRNA from 1 species